CCUACGGGAGGCAGCAGUGGGGAAUAUUGGACAAUGGGGGCAACCCUGAUCCAGCCAUGCCGCGUGUGUGAAGAAGGCCUUCGGGUUGUAAAGCACUUUAAGCGGGGAGGAAGGGCUUUGGGUUAAUAACCUGGAGCAUUGACGUUACCCGCAGAAUAAGCACCGGCUAACUCUGUGCCAGCAGCCGCGGUAAUACAGAGGGUGCAAGCGUUAAUCGGAAUUACUGGGCGUAAAGCGCGCGUAGGCGGUUGUGCAAGUUGGAGGUGAAAUCCCCGGGCUUAACCUGGGCACUGCCUUCAAAACUGCACGGCUAGAGUAUGGGAGAGGAAGGUAGAAUUCCAGGUGUAGCGGUGAAAUGCGUAGAGAUCUGGAGGAAUACCGAUGGCGAAGGCAGCCUUCUGGCCUAAUACUGACGCUGAGGUGCGAAAGCACGGGGAGCAAACAGGAUUAGAUACCCUGGUAGUCCAUGCCGUAAACGAUGUCAACUAGUUGUUGGGAGACUUGAUCUCUUAGUGACGCAGCUAACGCAUUAAGUUGACCGCCUGGGGAUACGGUCGCAAGACUAAAACGUCAAAGGAUUAACGG
rnacentral:rRNA from 1 species